rnacentral:rRNA from 1 species
CUUAGGCAUUUAGUGGCGGACGGGUGAGUAGCGCGUGAGAAUCCACCUUCAGGUCGGGGACAACAGUGGGAAACUGCUGCUAAUACCGGAUGUGCCGAAAGGUAAAAGGCUUGCUGCCUGAAGAAGAGCUCGCGUCUGAUUAGCUAGUUGGAGAGGUAAAAGCUCACCAAGGCGACGAUCAGUAGCUGGUCUGAGAGGAUGACCAGCCACACUGGGACUGAGACACGGCCCAGACUCCUACGGGAGGCAGCAGUGGGGAAUUUUCCGCAAUGGGCGAAAGCCUGACGGAGCAAUACCGCGUGAGGGAGGAAGGCUCUUGGGUCGUAAACCUCUUUUCUCAGGGAAGAAGAAAGUGACGGUACCUGAGGAAUCAGCAUCGGCUAACUCCGUGCCAGCAGCCGCGGUAAUACGGAGGAUGCAAGCGUUAUCCGGAAUCAUUGGGCGUAAAGAGUCCGUAGGUGGCGCAUCAAGUCUGUCGUUAAAGAGCAGGGCUUAACCCUGUAGAGGCGGUGGAAACUGAUGAAGCUAGAGUACGGCAGGGGUAGAGGGAAUUCCCAGUGUAGCGGUGAAAUGCGUAGAGAUUGGGAAGAACACCGGUGGCGAAAGCGCUCUACUAGACCUGUACUGACACUGAGGGACGAAAGCUAGGGGAGCGAAUGGGAUUAGAUACCCCAGUAGUCCUAGCCGUAAACGAUGGAUACUAGGUGUUGUCUGUAUCGACCCGGACAGUGCCGGAGCUAACGCGUUAAGUAUCCCGCCUGGGGAGUACGCACGCAAGUGUGAAACUCAAAGGAAUUGACGGGGGCCCGCACAAGCGGUGGAGUAUGUGGUUUAAUUCGAUGCA